AACGCGAAGAACCUUACCAAAUCUUGACAUCCUUUGACAACUCUAGAGAUAGAGCUUUCCCCUUCGGGGGACAAAGUGACAGGUGGUGCAUGGUUGUCGUCAGCUCGUGUCGUGAGAUGUUGGGUUAAGUCCCGCAACGAGCGCAACCCUUAUCUUUAGUUGCCAUCAUUAGGUUGGGCACUCUAGAGAGACUGCCGGUGACAAACCGGAGGAAGGUGGGGAUGACGUCAAAUCAUCAUGCCCCUUAUGAUUUGGGCUACACACGUGCUACAAUGGAUGGUACAAAGGGCAACAAAACCGCGAGGUCAAGCAAAUCCCAUAAAACCAUUCUCAGUUCGGAUUGUAGUCUGCAACUUGACUACAUGAAGCUGGAAUCGCUAGUAAUCGUAGAUCAGCAUGCUACGGUGAAUACGUUCCCGGGUCUUGUACACACGC
rnacentral:rRNA from 1 species